rnacentral:rRNA from 1 species
UACAGAGGGUGCAAGCGUUAAUCGGAAUUACUGGGCGUAAAGCGUGCGUAGACGGUCAUGUAAGUCGGGUGUGAAAGCCCCGGGCUCAACCUGGGAAUUGCAUUCGAGACUGCAUGGCUAGGGUGCGGAAGAGGGAAGCGGAAUUUCCGGUGUAGCGGUGAAAUGCGUAGAUAUCGGAAGGAACACCGAUGGCGAAGGCAGCCCCCUGGGCUAACACUGACGCUCAGGCACGAAAGCGUGGGGAGCAAACGAGGAUUACGAA